rnacentral:rRNA from 1 species
UACGAAGGGGGCUAGCGUUGCUCGGAAUCACUGGGCGUAAAGGGUGCGUAGGCGGGUCUUUAAGUCAGGGGUGAAAUCCUGGAGCUCAACUCCAGAACUGCCUUUGAUACUGAGGAUCUUGAGUACGGGAGAGGUGAGUGGAACUGCGGGUGUAGAGGUGAAAUUCGUAGAUAUUCGCAAGAACACCAGUGGCGAAGGCGGCUCACUGGCCCGUAACUGACGCUGAGGCACGAAAGCGUGGGGAGCAAACAGG